GGAAAGUUCAAGUCCCAAGAGCACGUAACAGCACUCGAGUAGGUGCUGCCUUCCACCACCUCCACUGAUCCGACUGUGCCAAAAAGGACUGAGGAGCGAAGUGUGUGAUCAGCCUCAUGUGAUAAUCCUGUCCAGUCUUUAUUGACUUGAAAAAGUGGAUGGUGGGUUAAGACGAACCCAUGGGGUGAUAUGAAACUCUCCCCAUCUAUAGACAAGCAAAAGGGACGAGGCUUAGUAGAUAAUGGCCGCUAGAUUUCUUUCAUGUCACCGCCGGGUGACGUCACUGACGACGGUUGUCGCUCACAGCUGCCCAUUUACUCUCCAGGGAUUAUGAUGCUCUUAUGUGCAGUGCACAAGGAAUGGAAAGCAAAGCAAGCAAGAGGUGAAUCGCCGGGCUGAUGACAAUGACAAAGGGAUUGGGACUCAACUGAUUGUUUGAAUUGCGUCGAUACAAUUGGUAACUUUGUAGGAGGGACAGGG